rnacentral:rRNA from 1 species
GAUGAACGCUGGCGGCGUGCUUAACACAUGCAAGUCGAACGGAAAGGCCCAAGCUUGCUUGGGUACUCGAGUGGCGAACGGGUGAGUAACACGUGGGUGAUCUGCCCUGCACUUCGGGAUAAGCCUGGGAAACUGGGUCUAAUACCGGAUAGGACGAUGGUUUGGAUGCCAUUGUGGAAAGUUUUUUCGGUGUGGGAUGAGCUCGCGGCCUAUCAGCUUGUUGGUGGGGUAAUGGCCUACCAAGGCGUCGACGGGUAGCCGGCCUGAGAGGGUGUACGGCCACAUUGGGACUGAGAUACGGCCCAGACUCCUACGGGAGGCAGCAAUGGGGAAUAUUGCACAAUGGGCGCAAGCCUGAUGCAGCGACGCCGCGUGGGGGAUGACGGCCUUCGGGUUGUAAACUCCUGUCGCUAGGGACGAAGCGUUUUUGUGACGGUACCUGGAGAAGAAGCACCGGCUAACUACGUG